GAUGAAAUGGCCAAGUGCUCUGCACGGCUACUCCCACUAUACACACACCCUAGCCUAGCUUUGUAAUAGAAAUAUCAGUAGUGGUUAGAGUUUGUAAUACUGAGAGUAGUGGCCAUUGUAGCCGAACCUUCGAGUUUGGAUUUAUAGCACCUUCGAGGUAUUUAUCAAUAUACAGAUAUACCUUGAAAAUAUUGUGUGUUGGUUUAAUAUUUUCGUAUCCUCAGAAACCGACCUAAUAAUUAUCCGGAACACGAAACCCAUUACAGGACUGCAAUUUGUUUAUCCGCAAGAUUCGAAAGAAAUUUAAAUUGUAGUGAGUAUCGUAUUCAACCCCCCCUUCUACGAUACUUUGGAC
rnacentral:lncRNA from 1 species